rnacentral:lncRNA from 1 species
UAUGCUUAAGACCAUCUACAAAUCGUACAUUAUCAACAAAGGUUGAAGAGGUGAUUUGUACUUUACCUAUACCAACGAUGUGACCUUGGUUGUUGUCUCCAAAUGUCACAACACCUCCCUUUUUUAGGCUCUAGGGUGAAGAAUUGCUUCUUGUCACCCGUCAUGUGUCUUGAGCAGCCACUAUCCAAGUACCAACAGUUUU